CUGCGAGUGAGGAGGAAAGAGUCCAAGGUGGAAAGAUAGUUCGCUAUCGUUGUGCCUCGACCGGUUAACUGGUGAACGGAAUAUCAAGUCUGUUGGAACACAGCACCAAAGAGGGUGAGAGUCCCGUAUGUAUAUUCUUCAUUCAUCUCUACGUUGCCGGCUCAAAGAGUCGUGUUGCUUGGGAGUGCAGCACAAAUGGGUGGUACGUGCCAUCCAAGACUAAAUACCGUUGGGAGACCGAUAGCAUAAAAGUACCGUGAGGGAAAGAUGCAAAGCACUCGGAAACGAGGGUGAAAAGAGAUUGAAAUCGUGGAAAGUGAAGCAUAGGGCUGUAAUAUGGUAUACCGACUGUUUCAGUUUGUGUUCCUACCGAUGUCGUUGGUUACUGUGAGAGAAGUCUGUCUUGCGAGUAGGUGCCUAGAUUACUGGCCUGCCUGUGUGAUUGAUGAUUGUCUUGGUUUUCAACGUUAAAGUUGUUCUGAAUACGUGUAU
rnacentral:rRNA from 1 species